AUGCAGUCAAUUUAGCUGGCUUUUUCUUUGUCUGUGGGGGCGGGUGGGCAGUGGCUGCCAACAGCAAGCAGCCUCUUUGUUUAUGUCCAUAGCCAGAGGCUUAUCUGGGCUCUUCCAGGGGAUCUUUAAAAGAGUC